AUAGCGCAUUAGGUUACAAACUACUGAAGUACAGGUAAAACAUACGUACACAUACAAAUAAUUAACCAUUAUUAAGCUCUGAGACGAUUAAUGGAACUCUUGCUUUGCAAAAUAGUCAAAGAGCCCGAGAGUCUGUUCGCCCUUAAAUGAUUUGCCCUGAGGGUGAAGGCUAAAUGCUAAAAGGUGCCAGACGGCCAGUAAUUUGGUUGUCUUGGCUCGUCUGGACCAACACCUGCCCCCUCUCUGGGGAAAGCGCCUUUCAGCCAAAAGCGAAGAGGAGCGCCGCACACAAGGAUGGGCGAUCUCUCUCUCUCUCUCUCUCUCUCUCUCUCCCUCACUUCCUCUCUCUCUCUCACUCUCUCUCUCUCUCUGUCACCCCUUUCUCUUCCCUUUCUCUUUGCACCUUCGUUCUCCCUUCCUCGCCUCAUUUUCUCUCAUUCUUUCUUGCCUAGAUGAGCAUGACUUCCUUCAAAGUUUUUUUAUCCUCCGAUCGCUCUGACGUCGGUAAGCUCGUGAGGAAUUGUGACGUCACGUAAGUUCGUGAAAAUAAUUUACAUAUAAUUGUAGCUAUCUGGGAUAUAAAGUAAUUUUACACUUGUGCUGGGAAAUGUUUUAUAACUCCUGCAUCAAAGCCCAUGCUGAUGUCCGCUGUACUUUACAUGUCAGAGCAGUUUCCUAAUAUUUUACUUAAGUAGGCCUAGUUGUGGAACUACGCAAUGUUCAAGUUGUGGAGACAAUAAAGAAUAAAUAAGCA